rnacentral:tRNA from 1 species
AUGACACAGUCUGGUCAGUGCAUCUGUUUUGGGUACAGAGGGCCAUAGGUUCGAAUCCUGUU